GUGAGGAAUUUUCCGCAAUGGGCGAAAGCCUGACGGAGCAAUGCCGCGUGAAGGAUGAAGGCCUAUGGGUUGUAAACUUCUUUUCUCAGAAAAGAAUUAUGACGGUAUCUGAGGAAUAAGCAUCGGCUAACUCUGUGCCAGCAGCCGCGGUAAGACAGAGGAUGCAAGCGUUAUCCGGAAUGAUUGGGCGUAAAGCGUCUGUAGGUUGUUUAAAAAGUAUUCUGUCAAAGAUUAGGGCUUAACCCUAGAUAGGCAGAAUAAACUUUUAAGCUAGAGUUUGGUAGAGGCAGAGGGAAUUCCCGGUGGAGCGGUGAAAUGCGUAGAUAACGGGAGGAACACCAAAGGCGAAGGCACUCUGCUGGGCCAAUACUAACACUGAGAGACGAAAGCGAGGGGAGCAAAUGGGAUUAGAAACCCGGGUAGUCC
rnacentral:rRNA from 1 species